GACGUAGGGCGCGAGCGUUGUCCGGAUUUAUUGGGCGUAAAGAGCUCGUAGGCGGCUUGUCGCGUCGUUCGUGAAAGCCCGGGGCUCAACCCCGGUAUUCAUUGGAAACUGGCGGACUGGAGUGCAGGAGAGGGAAGCGGAAUUCCACGUGUAGCGGUGAAAUGCGUAGAGAUGUGGAGGAACACCAGUGGCGAAGGCGGCUUCCUGGCCUGUAACUGACGCUGAGGCGCGAAAGCGUGGGGAGCAAACAGG
rnacentral:rRNA from 1 species